rnacentral:misc_RNA from 1 species
AUGAAGAACGUAGCGAAAUGCGAUACGUAAUGUGAAUUGCAGAAUUCAGUGAAUCAUCGAAUCUUUGAACGCAUAUUGCGCUCUUUGGUAUUCCGAAGAGCAUGCUUGUUUGAGUAUCAGUAAACACCUCAACCUCUUCUUGAUUUUUCAAAAGGAGGGUGGACUUGAGCUAUCCCAACAACCUUUACCGGUCGGCGGGCGGCUUGAAAUGCAGGUGCAGCUGGACUUUUAUCUGAGCUAAAAGCAUAUCUAUUUAGUCCUCGUCAAACAGGAUUAUUACUUUUGCUGCAGCUAACAUAAAGGAUAAUUGUCCUCUUUGCUGACUGAUGCAGGAUUUUACGACACUUUAUGUGUUGUUCAACUCGAUCUCAAAUCAAGUAAGACUACCCGCUGAACUUAAGCAUAUCAAUAAGCGGAGGA